UUCGGGAGGACGCUUACCACUUUGUGGUUCAUGACUGGGGUGAAGUCGUAACAAGGUAGCGCUAGGGGAACCUGGCGCUGGAUCACCUCCUUAUACGAUGAU
rnacentral:rRNA from 2 species